rnacentral:tRNA from 1 species
UUUAAAGGAUAAGAGACAA